GGAGGCGGUCCCUGGUAGUGGAGGGCGUCGCGAUGGGCGGGGCGGAGCGUCUGUGGUCUUCCUGGAACCCUGCAUCUCGGGCAGUUUUGCAGAACACUGAUAUCUAUGGACCCUAGCAUGGACUUCAUUUAAAGAAAUCCACGGACCAUUAAUGGACAAAAACAUGAAUCAGUUUAUGUUGUGGCAUUCAAAUCCUAGCACUUUGGGAAAGCAUCAAGUACAAGUUUUUGAAGACCCUGGGGCCUACCAUCAUUAUGCAUUCAAGAUUUGAGUUUGAAUAACUUCAUCAAGACUUAGAUCCUCUUCAAAAGCCUCAAGUCUCAUCUGCAUUAAAGCUCUCCAUUGAACCCUCUCACAAAAGUAAAAGCUUACAGGGACUAAAAUCGACUAAUACAUUCCAUUUUAUAUCCUUUCCUCUGAUUUCUCUUCAAUUUCUUUGGCCUUUAGAGUCUUUCAUAUUGCUUAUGUUUCUUUAGAUUGGAGCCAAGGAAACAGUGCCUUCCAAAAGAAUAGAUGUCCUGUGGCCCUAAAUUUUCAUUGGUAGAGAAGCAUAAACUUGGUAUAAGUUUACAAUCAGGUCUUUUGUUGUAUCCUACAAAAACUUGA